rnacentral:misc_RNA from 1 species
GACGUUUGAGGGAUGUUCCAAUGUUAUAAGGAUAGACAUUGGAAAUGUUAACCGAGUCAUAAUCAGGUUUAGGCCUGGUAUCCUAUUAUUAUUUACCAAAUGAAUUCAGAAUUAAUAUUGUAACAUAGACCUAAAAAAUCUAUAAAACAACUUUUAACAACGGAUCUCUUGGUUCUCGCAUCGAUGAAGAACGUAGCAAAGUGCGAUAACUAGUGUGAAUUGCAUAUUCAGUGAAUCAUCGAGUCUUUGAACGCAACUUGCGCUCAUUGGUAUUCCAAUGAGCACGCCUGUUUCAGUAUCAAAACAAACCCUCUAUUCAACUUUUGUUGUAUAGGAUUAUUGGGGGCCUCUCGAUCUGUAUAGAUCUUGAAACCCUUGAAAUUUACUAAGGCCUGAACUUGUUUAAUGCCUGAACUUUUUUUUAAUAUAAA